rnacentral:rRNA from 1 species
UUGGGUCUGGCGGGUUCUAUAAUGCAGUCGAGCGACCGAUUAAGAGCUUGCUCUUAUGAAGUUAGCGGCGGACGGGUGAGUAACACGUGGGUAACCUGCCCAUAAGACUGGGAUAACUCCGGGAAACCGGGGCUAAUACCGGAUAAUAUUUUGCGCCUCAUGGCGCGAAAUUGAAAGGCGGCUUCGGCUGUCACUUAUGGAUGGACCCGCGACGCAUUAGCUAUUUGGUGAGGUAACGGCUCACCAAGGCGACGAUGCGUAGCCGACCUGAGAGGGUGAUCGGCCACACUGGGAGUGAGACACGGCCCAAACUCCUACGGGAGGCAGCAGUAGGGAAUCUUCCGCAAUGGACGAA